rnacentral:rRNA from 1 species
AAUAUUGUACUAUGGGUGCAACCCUGAUCCAGCCAUGCCGCGUGUGUGAAGAAGGNCCNNGGAUUNUNAAGCUCUAUAAGUUGNNNNNAAGGGCUUUAGGUUAAUACCCUGAAGUUUUGACGUUACCAACAGAAUAAGCACCGGCCUACUCUGUGCCAGCAGCCGCGGUAAUACAGAUGGUGCAAGCGUUAAUCGGAAUUACUGGGCGUAAAGCGCGCGUAGGUGGUUCAGUAAGAUGGGUGUGAAAUCCCCGGGGUUAACAUGGGAACUGCUUUCAUAACUGCUGAGCUAGAGUACGGUAGAGGGUAGUGGAAUUUCCUGUGUAGCGGUGAAAUGCGUAGAUAUAGGAAGGAACACCAGUGGCGAAGGCGACUACCUGGACUGAUACUGACACUGAGGUGCGAAAGCGUGGGGAGCAAAC